rnacentral:rRNA from 1 species
AGUGGAUGGGGAGCAACCUAGUUGUGCGUGUGUAAAGGUAGUGCCAAGAAAAGCGGUGAUCAUGAUGAAAAUCAAUUCCCGGUACCCGAAACCGACACAGGUGGGCAAGUAGAGAAUACUAAGGGGCGCGAGGUAACUCUCUCCAAGGAACUCGGCAAAAUGACCCCGUAACUUAGGGAGAAGGGGUGCCACCGAGAGGUGGUCGCAGUGAAGAGGCCCAGGCGACUGUUUAGCAAAAACAUAGGUCUCUGCAAACUCGAAAGAGGAGGUAUAGGGGCUGACGCCUGCCCAGUGCCGGAAGGUUAAAGAAGUUGGUCAGUCUUAGGAUAAAGCUAGCGACUGAAGCCCCGGUGAACGGCGGCCGUAACUAUAACGGUCCUAAGGUAGCGAAAUUCCUUGUCGGGUAAGUUCCGACCCGCACGAAAGGCGUAACGAUCUGGGCGCUGUCUCGGAGAGAGGCUCGGCGAAAUAGGAUUGUCUGUGAAGAUACGGACUACCUGCAUUUGGACAGAAAGACCCUAUGAAGCUUUACUAUAGCUUGGAAUUGUGUUCGGGCUUCCUGUGCGCAGGAUAGGUGGGAGGCGAAGAAGGUAUUCUUGUGGGGAUACUGGAGCCAACGGUGAGAUACCACUCUCAGGAGGCUAGAAUUCUAACUUAAUUAAGGACAGUUUCAGGUGGGUAGUUUGACUGGGGCGGUCGCCUCCAAAAAGGUAACGGAGGCGUACAAAGGUUCCCUCAGACUGGUUGGAAAUCAGUCGCAGAGUGCAAAGGCAGAAGGGAGCUUGACUGCGAGAAGUACAGUCCGAGCAGGGUGGAAACACGGUCUUAGUGAUCCGACGGUGCUGUGUGGAAGGGCCGUCGUUCAACGGAUAAAAGUUACUCUAGGAUAACAGGCUGAUCUCCCCCAAGAGUUCACAUCGACGGGGAGGUUUGGCACCUCGAUGUCGGCUCAUCGCAACCUGGGGCGGAAGUACGUCCCAAGGGUUGGGCUGUUCGCCCAUUAAAGCGGUACGUGAGCUGGGUUCAGAACGUCGUGAGACAGUUCGGUCCAUAUCCGAUGUAGGCGUGAGAAUAUUGAGAGGAGCCUUCCUUAGUACGAGAGGACCGGGAAGGACGCACCGCUGGUGUACCUGUUAUGAUGCCAAUUGUAAACGCAGGGUAGCCAAGUGCGGAGAGGAUAACCGCUGAAAGCAUCUAAGUGGGAAGCCCACCUCAAGAUGAGUAUUCUGGUGUAAGGUCACGGGAAGACGACCCGUAAAUAGGCACGAGGUGGAAGUGCAGAGAUGUAUGAAGCCGAAGUGUACUAAUAGACCGUCGGCUUGACC